rnacentral:rRNA from 1 species
UACGUAGGGGGCAAGCGUUGUCCGGAAUCAUUGGGCGUAAAGAGCGUGUAGGCGGCUCGAUAAGUCUGCUGUGAAAGUCCAGGGCUCAACCCUGGAAGGCCGGUGGAAACUGUCGGGCUAGAGUCCGGAAGAGGCGAGUGGAAUUCCCGGUGUAGCGGUGAAAUGCGCAGAUAUCGGGAAGAACACCCGUGGCGAAGGCGGCACUCUGGGACGGUACUGACGCUGAGACGCGAAAGCGUGGGGAGCGAACAGG